rnacentral:rRNA from 1 species
UACGAGUGCCCCGAGCGUUAUCCGGAAUCAUUGGGCGUAAAGGGUGUGUAGGUGGUCAUGUUAGUCUACUGUUAAAACCUGGGGCUUAACCCCAGAUGUGCGGUAGAUACGGCAUAACUAGAGGAUGGCAGAGAUGUAUGGAACUCAUGGAGUAGGGGUGAAAUCCGUUGAUAUCAUGGGGAACACCAAAAGCGAAGGCAGUACAUUGGGCCACUCCUGACACUGAAACACGAAAGCGUGGGUAGCGAAUGGG